GCCUGGCUGGCUCAGUCAGUGGAGCAUGAGACUCUUGAUCUCAGGAACAUGAGUUCGAGACCCACAUUGGGUG
rnacentral:tRNA from 1 species